CUCAUUCAACAACCCAUUUUUCUAAAACAACACUUCCAUCUCUCAAACACUCUCUUUCUCUUACUCUUCAACAUUUCUUCCCUCUUGCUGGAAAUCUUCACUGUCCUCUACCACCCCACAAACCUUUUAUUCUUUGCACUCAAAAUGACUCCGUCACUUUUACCGUCAUCGAAUCUUCAGCAAAUUUCAACCAUCUCUCAACCAACCAACACCCCAAAAAUCUCCAAGACUUUAAUCACCUUGUUCCAAAACUAACAGAAAAAACAACAUUUGAUGAUGGUAAUGACAUAUUCAUCUUUCCGUUGUUGUCUUUGCAAGUCACGGUUUUCCCCAACCAUGGUCUUUGCAUUGCCAUCAAAUAUUGCCAUGUGAUGGAUGAUAACUGUUGCAAUCAUUUAAUGAAAUCUUGGUCUUUUAUCCAUCGUAAAGGUGAUGUAGUUGACUUCAAGUCGCAACCUUGUUUUGACAGACAAGUUUUGCGAGACCCAGAAGGACUUGAAGAUUUAUUCUUAAAAGGCUAUUAUGAAAAAAGAAAAACAUGGGAGGAUAAUAGACUCAUUGGUAAGACUCAAAGUAUUGAAAAACAUGAUGAAGAUUGUGUUAAGGCAAUUAUUGUUUUCGGAAAAGAAGAAAUCGAGGGGAUGAAAAAAUGGGUAUUGAAUGAAUGGAAGAAAAAAGAUCAAGAAAUCCAAGCACCACAAUUUCUAUCUAAAUAUGUUGUAACUUGUGCUUUUGUUUGGGUUAGUUUGGUUAAAGCAAUGCAUAGAAGUAAUCAUAAUAUUGAUGAAAAAGACGAGUAUUUUUGUUUCACAGGUGAUUGCAGAGACAGACUAGGGUACACAAUACCGGAGGGGUAUUUCGGAAACUGUUUAGCGUUUAAUCAUGCAACGAUGAAGAGAAGAGAUGUGAAAGGAGAAGAUGGUUUUGUGAAUGCUGUUAAGGUAAUUGAGAAGGCAAUAACUGAGAUGAAAAAUGAACCUCUUAAAGAUGCAACAAAAUGGGAAGGUUCAGCUAAAAAGAUAGGUGAGUUUGGAAAUUUGUUAUUUGUAAGGGGGUCACCUAAGUUUAAUGUUUAUGAGACUGAUUUUGGAUUUGGAAAACCAGUUAAAGUUGAAAUGAUGCAUUCAUUAAAGUGUAUGUCUAUUGCUGAAAGUGGAGAUAGAGAAGGUGGACUUGAGGUUGGGUUGGCAUUCAAAUCUGAGGAUUAUGAAUGUUUCUCUUCUGUCAUUCAACAAGGACUACAAGCUUUGAAAUUUUAAUUGGUUCGUGAGUGUUUUAUCUUUUAAUGUGAAUUUUGGAUGGGAAAUGUAGUACUCCAACAAUGAAUCAUGGAUUGUGGGUUUUGAUUGAUAAUUUGAGAUUGAUUUAACUCUUCAAUCCAAAAUGUAUAAUAAUGAUGAACUUUUGAUUUAUAUUGAGUAAACUUUGGAUAUGUAUCUUGUCGAAUUUUUUAAGAAGUUUUCUAGAAAAAAUUAACACAUGGGGAUUAAAAGACCUCAUUUUUAAUUGAAUUAAUUGAUUGGAACGGGGUGUUCCUACCGCGAAGUGUUGUCUCUCUUCUCGAUUACUUUACAUCCUCUUCAUUGAGUAAAAAACACAGAAAAUGUCUAAUGUUUAUUUGGCUUGCAACAAUUUGAAAAUUUAGGAAGUACGGGAUGAGGUUGUUUUCUCUUCAAAGAGCUUUGAGGUCGAAGAGUUUAAAGAAACUAUCGAAAUGACCUCUUUGAGGUGGUUUUUAGCUAGGAAAAAAAUAGGGUCUUUGUGUAUUUUCAGUGGUUUUCAAACCCUCUUCUUUAACUUACUUCUCGAUUUUAUGGGAUUGUUUUAGUUGGGUAAAAUACCCCUUAUAGUUUUUGAGUUGUGGGUCAAGUAUUAUUUGUACUUCUCUCCGUUCAUCAAUAAAUUUUGUUGUUAAAAAAAAAUCGUGAUGACAUUUUUGCAAUUAAGUUGAUAUCGUGAAGCAUUGUAAAUCAAUCAUUAUGCAAUCCACAUCAAUUUACGUUAAUAUAAGAGGAGUAAAACAUUGUAAGUCAAAAAAAUCUUUUGAACCACAAAAUUAUUUGAACAAACUUAUUGACCAACAAAUUGGUAACAAAGAGAAAAAUGAGAGAACAAACUCAUUAGAAGUUUCCUUUAGUUCAUUCACAUGCUAGAAAUAUUAUCAAGCUGUUCUUGAAAGAUGUUGAUGAAAUUAAUCAUUCUAGACCUCUCAAGAGUCAAACCAACCUUAAUUCCACCUCCACCACCUCUACAAUCAGAAAGAGAAAUCGAACCGGAUGAAUCAAGAUGAACUGCAUCAGAUUUCUUAGGCUUCCCCCAUCCAAAAUCUGUCUCAUAAACAGCCAAAUUCGGUGAACCAGCAAUCACAUUAACAGACUUACCAGGUUUUGACAUUUCCCUAUUUCCUUGAGUAUGGUCCUCAACCACCUUGAGCCGCCACCAACUUGUCUCUGACAGGUAUCCACCCUCAACUCUCGCCCCACUAUUUCCUUCAAUCGUGUUACAUGACAAAUUUUAGAUGACGAGUCACUAAUUUUUAGAUGGAUCUAGAUAUAUUUAUGGGUUAAAUAAAUUCUAUGUUCUUAUAAAUAUUAUGUUCCAAAAAUAGCCCCAUCGGGAGUUACUGCAACGAACAAUAGUUAAAAACUAUUCCCAAAUAUUUUUUAGAUCGGUUAUAGGUUUAACGACUUUAAAAAGUUAUAAUUUGCUAUCUGAAAGAAUUUGUUACAUCAGUUACACGUUUAACCGCUCUAAAACAUUGUACUUAUUUUUUUAAAAGAAGUUAAAUUAGCUCACCCGCUCCUGAGAGAAUCAAACCUGAAACCUUGAGGAGCACACUUCCAAAUCCCAAGUCAAUACAAAAAAAACUAACCCAAGUGGGUUUAACGUCGCACUUAUUUGAACUAGGUUGGACCAAAAACGAGGGUUCUUUUUCGGCAUAUACUCUAUUAACCGAUUUAAAUAGUAGCAAACGGUUUAUAACUAGCAUUCGCAGACAAAUGAUAGUUAACUAUUGAUGUGAGUAUUUUCUGAAAUUUUAAGGUGCUUGUGAGCAAAUGCUAGAUGCUUAAAGAGCAAUUUCCCAUCCUUUAAGACAACCUAGAACAUAUAUUCUAAGUUUUUACUCCUUUCAAUGAGCACAUGACAAUUUUAAGGUGCAUACUAUAUGUUUGUCGAGAAAAUAUUUAUUAUAUAGUAAUUAAGUCCCUUAACUUAUUUAUUAGGUUCAUUAUGGUCCUAUAAUUAAUUUAUUAUGUUAAGUCUCUUAACUCUACUUUUGUCCGGCAAAUUAUAACUUUUUGUUAGUUAUUGUGAAAAAACGUUGAAAGUGAUACAUGUGGCAUUGUGAUGUGGCAAAAUCCUCUCAUUCAUCUUCUUCAAUUCCUAUUCUUCUAUCUUCUUUUCAUCUCACUCAAAGAAAAACACGCGCGCACACACACAACUUCGCAAAAAGACAAACAGAACCACAGUCUCAUUCAUUCAAAAUUAUAUAGAAUUGUAACCAAAUAAGUUUCACAUUUUACAAAACUUAAACGUUUCAUCAAACAACUCAUAAAAUAGUCAAAGUUGAAGAAACAAAUUCAACAACCCCAUAAGCACAUAAAGUGUAGAAAUAAUGUGAUAAUUGUUGCAGAUUCAUGCUUGCUUAAAAAAUUAUUCAAACUAUUGCAUUCAAAAUAGUUUCAAAGAAUAAUAUGUGAAUUUAAUUUGAGCUUUGAUAAUAUAUAUAUAAGUAGUGAGGAGAAAGAGGGGAACCAAACGGUGUUGUAUUUUCACCCAAAAGCUUACUAAUUUCACACAACAAAAACAAAAACAAAAUCAGAGUUUCAAAUAUGGGUCUCUUUGGCAAAAAAAAAAAAAAUGACGUUUAUAAAGUGAUGAAUGCUCUCUUUGUAAACUCUUAUCAAGAGUCAAUCUUUUCAACGUAUGAUUUGGAUUUUUCUCAAUACACAUCAUUGAUCAACACUAUUGGACUUGAUACUUGUAAGGUCUAAUUCAUCCUUAUAAAACAUGUGUUAACUUGGAUUUUUCAGAAUCAAUAAUGCAUGCGCAAAUGAAGGUGAUACAAAUCAAAGUUUGAUUGAGGGUUGUUUGCGGCAGCAACAGGUGGCCAAUGACGGUCUUAAUGGCGGAGGAAGAGGGGGAAGAUCAAUGGAGAAAGACCAAACGAGAGAGCGUGCACCAAAUGUAUAACCUUUUGGGUUUGUUCAGGAUGCAAGUUUCUGUUCAUUGUUCAAGAAGAUGGAAGAAGAUGAUUUUUCACACAUAAAAAUAACAAAAUGACUAAUUUAACUGACGAAAGUAGAGUUGAAUAAUCUAAACGUAACAAAAAAAAAAACUGCCAUAAGACUAAUAAACAAGUUAAGGGACUUAAUAUAUAAUAUAGCCAUUUUUUGCAUAUAUGAGGAAGAAAAAUGUAACUUGUUUCAUCACUGACUUACUCCUAUUUUAAUACAAGUAGAGCAAAUAAGGGAAAAUUUGUAUAAAUAAUGAGUUAAAUAUAUUUUUCGUCCCUACAAUUAUUUUAAUUUUUGAUGCUAGUUCCUCUAAAAUUUUCCUUCGUUUUUUGUUCUCCAAAAUUUUUAAAUCACCACUUUUUGUCCAUGUUUUUAAGUCAAACCAUGUGUGUUACUAAAAUUUUGAGUGAGCUUUUGUCGAAAUGUUUGAAUAUUAUAAAAAUCUUUCAAAGAGAAUUAGAAUUUAGGCUUAAUAGGUCAUUUGGUCUCUUAAUUAAUUUCAAAUUUUUAUUUUGGUCCCUUAAUUAAUUUCAAAUUUUCAUUUUGGUCCCAUAAGUAAUAAAAUUCAUGUUUUGGUCCCUUAAUUGUCUCUCCGUCGGUCAAAGAAAUCCUGAAUAUUAAGUUUAACCCCAAAUAUCUCUUGUGGAUCAACAUUAUAUGUGGUCCACCAUUGACCUUAUUAAUUUGGUUGGUUUAAACCAUCCAUGUUUAUUAAUUAUAUCAGUCUUUCUGUACUGAAUUGGUAUGGAAAAAAAUUAUUAGUAGGUACUGAUGUAUGGAAAAAUAUUAUCAGUAAAUACUAUUAUUGGUGUUUCAUUUUGGACGUCUAGAAAUAUGGCGUUUUGUUUGUAAGACUAACAAAGAAUAUUAUUACUAUUUACCAUUGUCAUAGUAGUCUAUCUUUUUUUACUAUCUAAAAAUAUUGAUCCAUAGUCAUUGUUUGCUUAGAUUUACUAUAUAUGAAUUAAAAAUAAUAGAGUUUUGCUAUAUCAAGCGAACAAGCAUGUUUGGAAUUCAUAACGAAGGAGAAAUCAGCGAAUGAAAAAAGAGAGUUGUGUGAAAAUCAAGGGAAGCUGCUGCAAAUAAAGCGGCAAUCCACAAUAAAAACCAACUGAAAUACAUGGUCGGGAUGAUUUCUCUAUAAUAACUUUCGCUAUAAAUAGCAUUUUUGAAAAUAAUGUUAUCAGUAUUUAACAUUAUAAAUCUGAUUAGUAUUAAUAAAUAUAAUUAAGCAAUACAGCGUUGUCCCGUGCGUUGCAAGGUACUCCGACUAGUUUUAUACAUGCAUUAUCUUGAAAUAUACUAUUUAUUGCUUCUCCCCAAUGGCGGAGCAUAAGCUUGUUGAGAUUUCAGAAAUGGCAGAGCAAAAGCUUAUUGAGCAAGCUCUUGUUUCUCCAUCAACACCAAGAACAACAACAACUUCUCUUCCUCUCACAUUCCUUGACUUGCCUUUUGCAGGUCCAGUCUAUGUUGAACGCUUAUUCUUCUAUCACUUUCCACAUUCAACAACCCAUUUUUGUAAAACAACACUUCCAUCUCUCAAACACUCUCUUUCUCUUACUCUUCAACAUUUCUUCCCUCUAGCUGGAAAUCUUCAAUGUCCUCCACAACCCCACAAACCUUUUAUUCUUUGCACUCAAAAUGACUCUGUCGCUUUUACCAUCGUCGAAUCCUCGGCAGAUUUCAACCAUCUAUCAACCAAUCACCACCCCAAAAAUCUUAAAGACUAUAAUUAUCUU
rnacentral:lncRNA from 1 species